rnacentral:tRNA from 1 species
ACCGCGUAGCUCAGUUGGAAGAGCAUUGGGCUAGUAUUCCAAAGGUCGUAGGUUCGAAUCCCACCGGAA